UCCUGGUGCCCUUCAUUCCACCGGAAUCUGUCACUCCAGGAACCAGAUUUCAGUGAAAUGAAGCCCAUCAGAGA
rnacentral:pre_miRNA from 1 species